UACGGGGGGGGCAAGCGUUGUUCGGAAUUACUGGGCGUAAAGGGCUCGUAGGCGGCCAACUAAGUCAGACGUGAAAUCCCCAGGCUCAACCUGGGAACUGCGUCCGAUACUGGAAGGCUUGAAUCCGGGAGAGGGAUGCGGAAUUCCCGGUGUAGCGGUGAAAUGCGCAGAUAUCGGGAAGAACACCCGUGGCGAAGGCGGCUCUCUGGGACGGUACUGACGCUGAGACGCGAAAGCGUGGGGAGCGAACAGG
rnacentral:rRNA from 1 species